UGUGGCCAAGUUUUUAAGGGCGCACGGUGGAUGCCUUGGCACCAGGAACCGAUGAAGGACGUGGGAGGCCACGAUAGUCCCCGGGGAGUCGUCAACCAGGCUUUGAUCCGGGGGUUUCCGAAUGGGGAAACCCGGCAGUCGUCAUGGGCUGUCACCCAUGCCUGAACACAUAGGGCAUGUGGAGGGAACGCGGGGAAGUGAAACAUCUCAGUACCCGCAGGAAGAGAAAACAACCGUGAUUCCGGGAGUAGUGGCGAGCGAAACCGGAUGAGGCUAAACCGUAUACGUGUGAGACCCGGCAGGGGUUGCGUAUGCGGGGUUGUGGGAUCUCUCUUCCACGGUCUGCCGGCCGUGGGACGAGUCAGAAACCGUUGAUGUAGGCGAAGGACAUGCGAAAGGUCCGGCGUAGAGGGUAAGACCCCCGUAGUCGAAACAUCAGCGGCUCGUUUGAGAGACACCCAAGUAGCACGGGGCCCGAGAAAUCCCGUGUGAAUCUGGCGGGACCACCCGCUAAGCCUAAAUAUUCCCUGGUGACCGAUAGCGGAUAGUACCGUGAGGGAAUGGUGAAAAGUACCGCGGGAGCGGAGUGAAAUAGUACCUGAAACCGUGUGCCUACAAGCCGUGGGAGCGUCGGAACAAGGCUUGCCUUGUUCUCGUGACUGCGUGCCUUUUGAAGAAUGAGCCUGCGAGUUUGCGGUGUGUUGCGAGGUUAACCCGUGUGGGGAAGCCGUAGCGAAAGCGAGUCCGAAUAGGGCGUUUCAGUAGCACGCUCAAGACCCGAAGCGGAGUGAUCUAGCCAUGGGCAGGUUGAAGCGGAGGUAAGACUUCGUGGAGGACCGAACCCACCAGGGUUGAAAACCUGGGGGAUGACCUGUGGUUAGGGGUGAAAGGCCAAUCAAACUCCGUGAUAGCUGGUUCUCCCCGAAAUGCAUUUAGGUGCAGCGUCGUGUGUUUCUUGCCGGAGGUAGAGCACUGGAUAGGCGAUGGGCCCUACCGGGUUACUGACCUUAGCCAAACUCCGAAUGCCGGUAAGUGAGAGCGCGGCAGUGAGACUGUGGGGGAUAAGCUCCAUGGUCGAGAGGGAAACAGCCCAGAGCAUCGACUAAGGCCCCUAAGCGUACGCUAAGUGGGAAAGGAUGUGGAGUCGCAGAGACAACCAGGAGGUUGGCUUAGAAGCAGCCACCCUUGAAAGAGUGCGUAAUAGCUCACUGGUCUAGUGAUUCCGCGCCGACAAUGUAGCGGGGCUCAAGCGUACCGCCGAAGUCGUGUCAUUGCGAUAUAUACCCCCAACGGGGAUCGUGAUGGGUAGGGGAGCGUCGUGUGCCGGGUGAAGCAGCCGCGGAAGCGAGUUGUGGACGGUUCACGAGUGAGAAUGCAGGCAUGAGUAGCGAUACAAACGUGAGAAACGUUUGCGCCGAUUGACUAAGGGUUCCUGGGUCAAGCUGAUCUGCCCAGGGUAAGUCGGGACCUAAGGCGAGGCCGACAGGCGUAGUCGAUGGAUAACCGGUUGAUAUUCCGGUACCCGCUGUGAAGCGUCAAACAUCGAGCAUCGUGAUGCUAAGGCCGUGAAGCCGCCCUGGAUCCUUCGGGUGAAGGGGAGUGGUGGAGCCGCCGAACCAAGCGGUUAGUAGGUGAGUGAUGGGGUGACGCAGGAAGGUAGUCCAUCCCGGGCGGUGGUUGUCCCGGGGUAAGGGUGUAGGCCGUGAUCCAGGCAAAUCCGGAUCACUUGUGGCUGAGACCUGAUGCCGAGCCGAUUGUGGUGAAGUGGAUGAUCCUAUGCUGUCGAGAAAAGCCUCUAGCGAGUUUCAUGGCGGCCCGUACCCUAAACCGACUCAGGUGGUCAGGUAGAGAAUACCGAGGCGUUCGGGUGAACUAUGGUUAAGGAACUCGGCAAAAUGCCCCCGUAACUUCGGGAGAAGGGGGGCCACACUUGGUGAUCCGUUUUACACGGUGAGCUGGGGGUGGCCGCAGAGACCAGCGAGAAGCGACUGUUUACUAAAAACACAGGUCCGUGCGAAGCCGUAAGGCGAUGUAUACGGACUGACGCCUGCCCGGUGCUGGAACGUUAAGGGGACCGGUUAGCUCCAUUUCGGUGGGGCGAAGCUGAGAACUUAAGCGCCAGUAAACGGCGGUGGUAACUAUAACCAUCCUAAGGUAGCGAAAUUCCUUGUCGGGUAAGUUCCGACCUGCACGAAUGGCGUAACGACUUCUCGACUGUCUCAACCAUAGGCCCGGUGAAAUUGCACUACGAGUAAAGAUGCUCGUUUCGCGCAGCAGGACGGAAAGACCCCGGGACCUUUACUACAGUUUGAUAUUGGUGUUCGGUUCGGCUUGUGUAGGAUAGCUGGGAGACUGUGAACUCUGGACGCCAGUUCAGGGGGAGUCGUCGUUGAAAUACCAGUCUGGUCGUGCUGGAUGUCUAACCUGGGUCCGUGAUCCGGAUCAGGGACAGUGUCUGAUGGGUAGUUUAACUGGGGCGGUUGCCUCCUAAAGAGUAACGGAGGCGCCCAAAGGUUCCCUCAGCCUGGUUGGCAAUCAGGUGUUGAGUGUAAGUGCACAAGGGAGCUUGACUGUGAGACCGACGGGUCGAGCAGGGACGAAAGUCGGGACUAGUGAUCCGGCGGUGGCUUGUGGAAGCGCCGUCGCUCAACGGAUAAAAGGUACCCCGGGGAUAACAGGCUGAUCUUCCCCAAGAGUCCAUAUCGACGGGAUGGUUUGGCACCUCGAUGUCGGCUCGUCGCAUCCUGGGGCUGGAGUCGGUCCCAAGGGUUGGGCUGUUCGCCCAUUAAAGCGGUACGCGAGCUGGGUUUAGAACGUCGUGAGACAGUUCGGUCCCUAUCCGCUGUGCGCGUAGGAAUAUUGAGAAGGGCUGUCCCUAGUACGAGAGGACCGGGACGGACGAACCUCUGGUGUGCCAGUUGUCCUGCCAAGGGCAUGGCUGGUUGGCUACGUUCGGGAGGGAUAACCGCUGAAAGCAUCUAAGCGGGAAGCCUGCUUCGAGAUGAGUAUUCCCACCUCCUUGAGAGGGUAAGGCUCCCAGUAGACGACUGGGUUGAUAGGCCGGAUAUGGAAGCACGGUAACGUGUGGAGUUGACCGGUACUAAUAGGCCGAGGGCUUGUCCUC
rnacentral:rRNA from 1 species